UACGGAGGAUCCAAGCGUUAUCCGGAAUUACUGGGCGUAAAGAGUUGCGUAGGUGGCAUAGUAAGUUAGUAGUGAAAGCGUGCGGCUCAACCGCAUAUCCAUUACUAAAACUACUAAGCUUGAGGACGAGAGAGGUAGAUGGAAUUCCCAGUGUAGGAGUGAAAUCCGUAGAUAUUGGGAGGAACACCGAUGGCGUAGGCAGUCUACUAGCUCGUUCCUGACACUAAGGCACGAAAGCGUGGGGAGCGAACGGG
rnacentral:rRNA from 1 species